rnacentral:rRNA from 1 species
GACGUAGGGGGCUAGCGUUGUUCGGAAUUACUGGGCGUAAAGCGCGUGUAGGCGGUUGUUUAAGUCAGGUGUGAAAGCCUUGAGCUCAACUCAAGAAAUGCACUUGAUACUGGAUGACUAGAGGACCGGAGAGGAUAGUGGAAUUCCCAGUGUAGUGGCGAAAUACGUAGAGAUUGGGAAGAACACCAGUGGCGAAGGCGGCUAUCUGGACGGUUUCUGACGCUAAGACGCGAAAGCGUGGGGAGCAAACAGG